rnacentral:tRNA from 1 species
UUGUAAUUUAGUUUAUUUAGAACAGCUAACUUGCACUUAGUAAGAGAAAUUUUUCAUUUGC